CUGCGUGGUCGAGCUGGCUGCCCCCUCAGCCGCCUGCCUUUGUGCCUCCAGCCUCCUUGGCUCCCUGAGUGCCUCACUUUGCCUUCUCCCCUGUUUCUCCCACCUCUGAGGCCGAGUAGCAGAAGUCAGAAGCUGGUGUCCAAGAGCCCCAAGAAGCAUGGUUAUGUCCCCUGAAGCCCUGGUCCACAUGAAGCUCUUCCUGCUUUUCUUCAGAGGAAGAUGCAGGAGCUGGUUAAUGGAAUGGAUUUUGCAUUCAGACAUCUCUUGGGGCUGCCUGUAGGUGGAUAUGUUCAUGGAAGACGGUGAAAAAGACAAGAAUAGGAUUUGCUGUAUAGAAUCACUAUAGUCACCAUCACACUGAGUAUCAACAACAUCUCUUGUUAUCCUCACAACUGUGCAAAACAGCAUCUCCACCUUCUACAAGAUGGGUGGUCUUUUUCUUCAUU
rnacentral:lncRNA from 10 species